rnacentral:lncRNA from 1 species
UGCGAGUGAAGGAGUCACGAUGGAGUCCGUCUGGCUCUCUUAGCUAAGGAAGAGUCACUUCAGGUUAAAACAAGCUGUAACUCUGCUUAUUUUCAGGAAAAAGAAUGCCUGUGUUUCGAAGUUCCUUCUUAGGACGAAACCAGCUGAAGCUGGCGAAAUCCAAGAUGGCGCCUCUGAAGAGCCUCUGGCUUUAUCAUCAUCCUGUUCUCAUGCUAAACAACAUGUCGCCAUGACAACGACUGGAAGAGACCAAGAAGGGACAGAAAAAAAGGGGUUUCUUGAUUCCGGGAAAAAUCUCCGUUCUUUCCCAAGGAAAGCACGAAUAUUCCCCCCCGUGCUCUUAAUGCCCAGCCCCUUCAUUAAAGACACCCUACCUCUGAAACU